CAUGACCUUGUUGCAGCAAAAAGCAGCAGAGUGUGCUGGUACUAGUCAUUAAAUGCAAGAGGAUUAACAUCCAGUUUAUUUCCUCUAAAACCACAGAACUAUCAGGAAAUAACUAAGCCUUAAAGUUUUAGUGAGAUUAGAUUGGAAAUGCUUUGGUGCAGGGAGGACUUGUUUGUGAAAAUUGCUUGGUGCUGUGGGUGCCAUCGAGGGAAAGUACCAGUUCAUGUGUGUCCUGGAAGUGAGGAGAAAAAGGAGUGUUUUGAAAAGAACCAUCUACUGUGGGUAACAAGCUCUGUGCUCUAGUGAUCGUGGAGCAUUUGAGAGAGAUUACUGCAGAACCUACAUGGUCAGAUAAGGAUGAUAGGAAAGGAAUGAUGCAAUAAAUAUAGGAACAAAGUC